CCAGGGCAUCAGCAGAAGUUGUGCUGUAAGAAGCUUGCUUGGAUUGCGGUGGUGAUGCAGUUUCAAGGUCUGUUUCUAGCGCUCAGAGUUUUCCAAGCAGCAGGCGUAAGGGUCAUGGAAUUUGCUUCAAAUCAUCAUGGAACACCUGGAAAACAACACCAUGUAUCUACCUUGGCAACACAAUGGCAGUGUGUUCCAACGAUGUGACCCACAGUAACGACAAAGCCUUCCGUUUUCGCGUAAUCACCAGACCUCACAGACAGUGAUCAAGCCGCCCUCACCGAACCUAGUUUUUUGUGGAACAUUUCAAGUGUCAACUUCAAGUGUGUAACGUGGUGUUCUUCCUUGAUGGAGCAGGCACAUUGAGCCUGGCGAACAAUUGAGGUAACAGAGUGCAAGUAUUACUUCACUUGGUCAUUGCUCAUGCUGAAACGCUAGAAAACCUCGUUCUACACUGUUUAGACAAAUGUAAAUCGAAUGUGUUUCUCCUUAACAAUGUUGUUUCUUUAAUAAUAUGCAUGUGUUUUCAGCACUAAG